AAUCUUCAUCUUGGGUGUAACUUGCUUCUUUUUUCAAAAAAUAGUCGUGUCAUCAACCAUCUUGAUUUCACAUCAACCAUCUUGAUUUCACAUCAAGAGCUCCACCUAAAUUUUCUCUCUCUAUCACCUUGAACUUGCACCACCAAUGUUGCAUGUGCAACUUUCCACAUAUCACAAUAGCUCCACCUUUAACCAAACUUACCAAGAUCAUUCCCAUGCUCUGAUACAAAUUUGUUGUGCACUGCGUAAGUGUGUAAAUUAUAAGGAAAUAAAGCAAAUAUACAAAACACUAAUAUUUACGUG
rnacentral:misc_RNA from 1 species